rfam:Elusimicrobia bacterium GWB2_63_22 gwb2_scaffold_561, whole genome shotgun sequence.
GCCGAGGUAGCUCAACGGUAGAGCAAUCGCUUCGUAAGCGAUAGGUUGUGGGUUCAAAUCCCAUCCUCGGCU